CUGCAGGAGAAACCGCUGCGGAUCGCCACAACUGACUAAAACCUAGAAGGCUAGAGAUCUCUUCAUUUCUACGAAUACUUUGAGCGACACCUCCGUUGGCGAUCUAGUGUUUGUCCUUCGGAUCAUCCGCCAUGGCUUUGCCCCCGGAGCGAGUUGUACAAGAGGUCGGCAAGAGCCUUGCCCGACCUCGCCUCGGCAAGGAUGCUUUGGUGAAGCUACUUAAGGAUGCAGAAGUUGCCUUAUCUAAGUUGAAUCAGUCUUCUUCUUUACAGAUAUCUCUAGGACCAUUAACUAAUUCUCUUUCUCACAUAAAUUUACUUCAGCAUAAAGAUAAAGAAGUUAAAUUACUGGUUGCUGUAUGUUUAAGUGAAAUUAUGAGGAUUUUGGCACCUAAUGCUCCUUUUACUGAUGAAAUAUUUAAGCAUGUUUUUAGGCUUAUUAUUGACACCUUCAUGGACUUGGGUGAUACUGCUAGUCCAUAUUUUACGAGGAGGACAAAGAUACUGGAGAGUGUCGCCGCUUUGAAAUGUUGUGUGAUAAUGUUGGAUAUUGAUUGCGAGGAUUUAGUUCUGGAUAUGUUCAAAGUUAUUUUCUCUGUUAUCAGACACGGUCAUCAAAGAAGCUUGUUCCAAGCUAUGCUGUCGAUUAUGACACUUCUUAUAGAGGAGAAAGUUACCCAACCACUCCUGGAGAUCAUUUUGCGACAACUGGUGAAGACUGAGAAGGGAGCAUCGUUUCGGCUUGCUGUUUCAUUGAUACAGAACUGUGCUGGAAAGCUGGAGCCAUCAAUUUGUAGUUUUUUAACAUCUUGCAAUUUUGACAAUGAUACAUGUGAAAUUAUUUUGGAGAUAUUUCAAUGCGCCCCACAGAUUCUCACCAGCAUCAUCCCAAACUUGACCCAAGAACUACUAACUGAGCAGGUGGAUAUUCGUUUGCGUGCUGUUCGUUUAGUUGGAAACCUUCUUGCCAAAUCUGAGCUCCGUUUUGGUCAGAAAUACUAUGCAUUCUUUGUUGAAUUCUUAAACAGAUUCUCUGAUAAAUCUACAGAAGUCCGGAUUGCCACAAUAGAGUGUGCUAGAGAAUGUUACAUGGCGCAUCCCUUUGGCAAGGAAGCACAUGAUAUUCUCUCUGUGCUUGAAGGAAGAUUGCUUGAUUUUGAUGAUAAAGUGAGAUUAGCAGCUGUCUUUGCAGUUUGUUAUCUUGCUAAAUCUAAUUUGACAUGUUUUCCAUCUGAGAUUGUACUGCAAGCUGUGGAAAGGCUUCGCGAUAAAAAGGUUUCUGUUAGAAAGAAAGUAUUAGAUGAGCUAUUGGUGUUAUACCAUGCAUACUGCAACAAAUGUUCUGAAGGAUUACUUGCACUCAACGAUCACUAUGAACAAAUUCCCUGCAAAAUUUUUGGCUUUUGCUUUGAGAAAGAUUGCAAGGAGUUCAGUCAACACAACCUUGAACAAAUCCUUGCAGAUGGCAUGUUUCCAGCAUCGCUUUCUGUAAAAGAGAGGAUAAAACAUUGGAUUACUUUUUUUUCAAUGUUGAAGUUGCCUCACAGAAGGGCUUUAAAAUCUAUCUUACAUAAGAAAUGGAGGUUUCAGGUGGACCUAAAAGAAUAUUUGAGUCUACGAGAUAAAGAAAAGGAAAUUACUUCAGAAGAUGCUUGCAACAGGAUAUUGUUAUUGCAUAUGCAGAUGUCCUCUAGUUUCUCUGAUCCUUCUAAAGCUGUUGAGUGCUUCCAAAAAUUGCAACAAAUGAAGGAUAAUAAUAUUUUUAAGAUAUUGCUUGCAUUGGCUGAUGAAUAUGUAUCUCCUUCAGCUAUUCAUUCUAUUCAUGUUUCUCUUCUUAAGAAGAUUGGGGAUAAGCAUCCAUAUUGUGAUUUUUUCAAUACACUCUCUAGAAAGUGUUCAUAUUCAAUAUUCACCGCUGAACAUGUACAUUGUAUUUUGGAAGCUAUUAUAUCUGAAAAGGACAAUCAAUCUAAAGUUAUGCAUGCCUCUUUAGAUCUUCUAAUUGUCAUUCUAUCCAUAUUUCCCAUGUUGAUAAGAGGAGCAGAAGAAUUCCUACUGAAGUUAUUCUCCAUGGGGACUGCAAUGUAUAAUGAAAAGGCUCUUCAGAUUUUAUCAACAGCAGGUCAACAUAUUUCUGUAGAACUCAGAGACAUAUACCCAUUUUUGGAACAUAAAUGCCUUGAAGGAACGCGUAAUGAGUCUAAACUCGCUGUGUCGGCAAUGUCUUCACUUAAUUGUACUACUAGUGAUUGCACCUUUGCCACAUUAUGCAAGAAAGUAGUUGAUUAUUUGCAUAAUGAAAAUCAUGUCCCAACACUUCUUCAAACCUUGGGCUGCAUUUCACAGUACUCCCCUUCAUCCUAUGAAUUAUACAAGAAGGAAAUCAAGCAUUUUGUUGUCCAGGAACUUUUAUGUUCAAAGGGUCAUGUGUCAGAUUCAGAGCAAACAUUCUCCAUUGAUAACACUAUGUGCAGCUCAUUGUGCAAAUUGAAGAUAUAUGCAUUGAAAUCAUUGGUUAGGAGUUUCCUGCCUCAUCAACCAUUAAAGCUACAGCAUGAAGUGAAUGAAUUUUUCAGCAUUCUAUCAGACUUAUUUCUUGAAGAUGGGAUCAUGAGCAAUAAUGGCAUAAGUCAAAAUGACAUGGUUCACCUCAGAUUGGCAGCUGCAAAAUGUGCUCUUCGCCUUGCGACAAGAUGGGACUUUCAUAUUCCACCAAAACUUUUUCAGUUAGUUAUUAUGAGUGCAAGGGAUCCUUCUUUUACUCUCCGUAAGGCAUUGAUUUAUAAAAUACAUAAGUUGCUAAAUGAACAAGCAAUACCUGACAGAUAUGCAUGUGCUUUUGCAUUGGCUUCAAUGGAUUGUGUGGGACAACUUCGAGAUGAUUCGAUGAAGUUCCUCAAUGAAUUCCUGAAAAUGCGGAGCAGACAAUUUAGCAUAAAAAUUGAUGAUGUAGCGCAAAAGAGAGAUGCAAUUGCAAACACAAAACAUCCAGGAUAUGUUGUAGUUUUCCUAAUCCAUGUUCUCGCCCAUGAUAAAAACUUUCCUCCUGACAAUUGCCAAGACUAUGAAGCUUAUGCUGAGUUCCUUAGUCCACUCAUUAUCAUGUUACAGGCUUUAGUACAUUUGGGUGAUAAACAGAAUGAUGCGAGUCAAAUAACAUCAUAUAUGCUGGGUAUUUUCUCUGCAAUUCAGAAGGCUGAUGAUGCUGUUGAUGCUAUUUGUACCCAUAAAUUGCAUGUUUUGUCAAAAAUAGGUUCUCUUGCAAUAAAACAUCUGACUAUGCAUUGCAAGAUUUCCUUGGAUGCUUCCCAUCUUGUGUUGCUACCAUCAUUAUACUUCAAGGUUUGCCAGGAUGCAAAUGACCAAGGGAGAUCAACUGCCACUGAUAAGUUAUUGGAAGGAGGUUUUGUGAGGCAGAUUCUCAGUAUAUUUGAAUCUUACAUAAAUCAGGUGGCCUCCAUUGCACCUCUAAAUUCAUCUCAUGCAGUUGUAUUUCAAAGCAUGCUGAUUGAACUAUGAUGUGAUAAAUUGUUAUAAUCUAUUCAAAUGUUUUUUUUCUCCAUUUGAUAGCCCACAGACACUGAAUCUAAACAGAGUAUCAAGCUUAUUGAUCCUCGGAGUUGCGAUGUUAUAAAGGACAUAUCAAACAUUGCAAAUCUGGAUAGACAUGUGGAUCCAUCACUCGGUAAAUCAAAGAUGAAAAAUAACCUCAGAAAGGGGCUUCAGAAAGUUUGCUUAGAUUCUUCUUUGAUAUCAGCACAAUCCGUCCAUGAUGAAAUAAAUUUAGAAUCUGGAACUGCUGAGGAUGAAGUGACAGAAGAGUUGAUAUCUUCUUCUGGUUCUGUUAGUAUACCUCCUGCAGUUACAACUUCAGGGGUUUCAAAAAAAGCCCUUCCUUCUAAGGAGUUAAUGCUAUUAGCAAGUGAGAAUUUUGUAACAAGUAAUGGGUUUACCAAUCGUCCCAAUGGAAUUUCAAAACCAAUAUCCAAAUGCCAUUUGGAUAUUAAGGGUACUACUGGUAGUGGUGACGUAGAUCUUUUCCACUUUCAAGAUAAGAAUUGGGAGGCCAUCAAUAAAGUGCCAAUUCUUGAUAAGAGUAGAUGCAACCUUCAACCUACAGAUUGGUUAGAUUCUUCUAGUGGUGACAAGGAAGUCUUAGCUAUUGAUGGAGAUGAAAGUGACAAUAUAAUAGCUGAUCGUUGCAACGAAAGAACAGUAUCGUUGAAGGAAAACGCAUUAUCAUCUUCAGUUGUGAAAUGAUCACUUCAUAUCUCUUUGUAACAAAAGUGACAAUCCACUUGAACUGGUAGUCCCCGAGCGUAAAUUUCUUAUGUCCAAUAUUCACAGCUGGCAAAGGAAAUAACAAGAGGUCGCGACCAAGUGCUUUAGAAAGUUCAUCAAAUUUUGAAGAUCGGGUCAUGACUCGUUCUCGGAGGAGCCAACAAAGGAGGAAAUAGGCAUCCCAAUUUACAGCUGAUAUCGACUGCUUCAAGCAUAGCUGACAUAGUCAACAGCUGGAGAACCGUGGUUUGGGCGGUGAAUUAACGUUUAUGUUGAAAACAUAAAAUUAAAAAAAAAUAUCUAGUUUUUUUUUUUUUUUUUUUUUUUUGGUGUUAGAGUUGUAUGUAAAUAAAUAGUUAGCCGGAGUAAUAUCCUUAUUUUUUUGUUUCUUUCCAUCUUUUGGGGUAAUUAUGUCUGAGGCCCCUUCGAGAUACAUUUCAUUUUACCCGUGAUUGCAAUAUUUUUUUCUUGGAAUUAUGUUUUAAUUGAUUAAAUAACUAAUUUUUGUUUCUUUUGUUUA